rnacentral:rRNA from 1 species
UACGUAGGGUGCGAGCGUUUGUCCGGAAUUAUUGGGCGUAAAGAGCUUGUAGGCGGUUUGUCGCGUCUGCUGUGAAAUUUCGGGGCUCAACCCCGAACUUGCAGUGGGUACGGGCAGACUAGAGUGUGGUAGGGGAGACUGGAAUUCCUGGUGUAGCGGUGAAAUGCGCAGAUAUCAGGAGGAACACCGAUGGCGAAGGCAGGUCUCUGGGCCACUACUGACGCUGAGAAGCGAAAGCAUGGGGAGCGAACAGG